rnacentral:tRNA from 2 species
AGUAAGAUAAGCUAAAUAAAGCUUUUGGGCCCAUACCCCAAAUAUGAUACUUCUAAUAUCUCUUACUA